GCCUAGCCCUAAACCUUGGUAAUAUAUCACAUACCCUACCCGCCUGGGAACUACGAGCACCAGCUUAAAACCCAAAGGACUUGGCGGUGCUUUAGACCCCCCUAGAGGAGCCUGUUCUAGAACCGAUAACCCCCGUUCAACCUCACCCUUCCUUGUUUAUCCCGCCUAUAUACCGCCGUCGUCAGCUUACCCUGUGAAGGACUAAAAGUAAGCACAACUGGCACAACCCAAAACGUCAGGUCGAGGUGUAGCGCAUGGAGGGGGAAGAAAUGGGCUACAUUCCCUAUUUUAGGGAACACGAACGGCGCACUGAAACACGCGCCUGAAGGAGGAUUUAGUAGUAAGCGGAAAAUAGCGUGUUCCGCUGAAAUCGGCCCUGAAGCGCGC
rnacentral:rRNA from 1 species